GUUCUACAUGAUGACAGAUUCUGAGGUUGCAACAUAGGCAGGUAGACGAGUUGGGUAAUAAGUGGAUCAAAGACACACUUAAAGGUUAUGAAGUUUUGGGAAGGUAGAGGUUUCUCUAUCCUUAGCCGCAUUCAUAGCUAGCCUUAUGCAGUUCGACAAGUUCUAUACACGAUUGAGUUUCAAGAGUGGGGGCAUCUGCAGUGCCAUUUACUACUAUGGGUUAAGCCGACUCUUUUUCCAAGGUUUUUUUUAAGUUUCCGAAAACGAGAGACCACAGUGGACACAGGUGACCACAUUUCUCAUGGCUGCAAAUCUGGAAUUAUAUGGUGUGGCUUAUUACACUUGGAAGAAACAUAAUUAUGUGGAUAGAGUUAGUAACGAAAUUAAGGGAUGAAGAAGCUUUGAGGGGACUUGGUAAAUUACCACAUGCAUGACAUACAAGACAGUACAACCGUACUAAUUUACAAAGAGUCUUCUAAGUAUGUUUUAAAUAUUGGAUUAUUAUAUAGGAUUUUAAAUAAAAACGCGUUUCAUACA